UACGGAGGGGGCUAGCGUUGUUCGGAAUUACUGGGCGUAAAGCGCGCGUAGGCGGCUUUGUAAGUCAGAGGUGAAAGCCUGGAGCUCAACUCCAGAACUGUCCUUUGAGACUGCAUCGCUAGAAUCAUGGAGAGGUUAGUGGAAUUCCGAGUGUAGAGGUGAAAUUCGUAGAUAUUCGGAAGAACACCAGUGGCGAAGGCGACUAACUGGACAUGUAUUGACGCUGAGGUGCGAAAGCGUGGGGAGCAAACAGG
rnacentral:rRNA from 1 species